rnacentral:ribozyme from 13 species
AACUCCUGCCUUCCAAAAAAUAUACAAAGACAAAAAAAAAGAAGGACCAAAAGAAAGAGAAGCAUGUCCAGAGGGAAAACUGUUUCGGUUUGAAUUUA